GGGGUUGUAGCUUAGUGGUAGAGCACUUGCCUAGCAUGUAUGAGGUCAUAAAUUCAAUCCCU
rnacentral:tRNA from 1 species